rnacentral:tRNA from 1 species
GGGGCUGUGGGGUAACCUGGCAUCCUAAUGGGCUCCAGAAAUUUCAACUGGAGCGCUGAGCCGUUUGGCUAUGACGAAAAGCAAGAUAUGAUAUAAUCAUACAUUGGAGAUACCCGCAGAUGGGGGUUCAAAUCCCUCCGGCCCCA